UACAGAGGCCGCGAGCGUUAGGCGGAAUCACUGGGCUUAAAGCGUGUGUAGGCGGACUUCUAAGUAUCUUGUGAAAUCCCACGGCUUACCCGUGGAACGGCUGGGUAUACUGGUUGUCUUGAGCCACUUAGGGGCUACCGGAACAAAUGGUGGAGCGGUGAAAUGCGUAGAUAUCAUUUGGAACGCCAAUGGUGAAAACAGGUAGCUGGGAGUGUGCUGACGCUGAGACACGAAAGCCAGGGGAGCGAACGGG
rnacentral:rRNA from 1 species